UCGGCGCAGACGGACAAGAAGGGGUCGUCUUUGGUGUUCAAGUAGCCACUCUGUCUACGACGAUACUGUUUGUGGUGGUUGGCAGUCUGGUGGCGGUGGCGGUGUGUUGCCGUAAACGUGUGGGGAUGCCAAGGUGAGGGUGUGUGGCAGUCUGGUGGCGGUGGGGAUGUGUUGCCGUAGACGUGUGGGGAUGCCAAGGUCCAUUUUGUUGUGGCGUAUUCCACUUCAACAUCUCCAAUGACUCUUCUGUCAGUCGACCAUCUGCUCCAAAGAGACAUAUUCUUCCCAUUGACUCGGAUUCCUAUUAGAUUUACCCUUCUUUGAACUGCUGUACACCACUGGGACCAAUGACGUGACUGUAACACGCCUUCCACAAAAUAAAAAUAUUGUUUUAUCUUCAAAACUUGUUGAGUUUCUUGACAGAAACAUUUCUACAUCUAUUCGUGGGAUAGCUGACAUUUUGAUUUCCCAACUUUUAACAGUUGACCUUCCCCCAAAUUGACAGUUUUUUUGUCAAAGUAUGUUCAAUACUACACCGUCACCCGUCACUAGACACACGUCAGCAGUGAAUAAACGAUGUUCCGGCGCACUGACUUGGUCAAAUAACGUUUUAACUGUUAUUAAGUUCAAUG